rnacentral:rRNA from 1 species
AGUGAACGCUGGCAGUAGGCCUAACACAUGCAAGUCGAACGGCAGCACAGUAAGAGCUUGCCCUUACGGGUGGCGAGUGGCGGACGGGUGAGGAAUACAUCGGAAUCUACUUUUUCGUGGGGGAUAACGUAGGGAAACUUACGCUAAUACCGCAUACGACCUACGGGUGAAAGCAGGGGAUCUUCGGACCUUGCGCGAUUGAAUGAGCCGAUGUCGGAUUAGCUAGUUGGCGGGGUAAAGGCCCACCAAGGCGACGAUCCGUAGCUGGUCUGAGAGGAUGAUCAGCCACACUGGAACUGAGACACGGUCCAGACUCCUACGGGAGGCAGCAGUGGGGAAUAUUGGACAAUGGGCGCAAGCCUGAUCCAGCCAUACCGCGUGGGUGAAGAAGGCCUUCGGGUUGUAAAGCCCUUUUGUUGGGAAAGAAAAGCAGCAGGUUAAUACCCCGCUGUUCUGACGGUACCCAAAGAAUAAGCACCGGCUAACUUCGUG